rnacentral:misc_RNA from 1 species
UAAAAACUAGGAUGAAAGGUUAUACAUUCAAAUUUCUUUAUUAAUUUCUAAUUAAUAAUUUAUAUUAAAUAUAAAAAUAUACUUAUAAAAAAAAAAGACGACAAGACCCUAUUAAAUUUUACUUAUAGUUUAACUGGGGAAGUUUUUUAAUUAAAAUUUUUUAAAUUUAAUAAAUAAAAAUCUAAUAAAAUUAAAACUUUAACAAAUUACUAUAGGGAUAACAGCAUUAUAUUUUUUAAAAGUUCAUAUUAAAAAAAAUGAUUGUGACCUCGAUGUUGAAUUAUAUUUUCUAUAUUUAAUGCAAUAAUUAUAAAAGUAGAUCUGUUCGAUCUUUAAAAUAUUACAUGAUUUGAGUUCAAACCGGUGUAAACCAGGUUGGUUUCUAUCUUUUUAUAUAUUUUUCCAGUACGAAAGGACAAACAAAUUUUUAUUUUAAUAAAUUAGCAAAUAAAUGCAUUAGAUUUAGAAUCUAAAUAUAUUUAAUAAU